UACGGAAGGUCCGGGCGUUAUCCGGAUUUAUUGGGUUUAAAGGGAGCGUAGGCCGCAUGUCAAGCGUGUUGUGAAAUGCAGGUGCUCAACACCUGGAUUGCAGCGCGAACUGUCGUGCUUGAGUGUGCGCAACGUUGGCGGAAUUCGUCGUGUAGCGGUGAAAUGCUUAGAUAUGACGAAGAACUCCGAUUGCGAAGGCAGCUGACGGGAGCGCAACUGACGCUGAAGCUCGAAGGUGCGGGUAUCGAACAGG
rnacentral:rRNA from 1 species